rnacentral:rRNA from 1 species
ACGCUCGACACCUGGAAGCAGCAGUGAGGAAUAUUGGUCAAUGGGCGCAGGCCUGAACCAGCCAAGUAGCGUGAAGGAUGACUGCCCUAUGGGUUGUAAACUUCUUUUAUAUGGGAAUAAAGUUUUCCACGUGUGGAAUUUUGUAUGUACCAUAUGAAUAAGGAUCGGCUAACUCCGUGCCAACAGCCGCGGUAAUCUGAGCGGGCUGGCAAGGC